rnacentral:sRNA from 1 species
UUCUUCUGCCUGCUGCGGCGCGAUGAAAUGGAUGUGGGUGUCAACUCCUCCCGCAGUCAGGAUCUUGCCUUCGCCGGCAACGACGUCCGUGCCCGGCCCGACAACGAUGCUGACCCCUGGCUGGAUGUCGGGAUUGCCGGCCUUUCCGAUCCCGGAGAUUCGUCCAGCCUUGAUGCCAACGUCCGCUUUGACAAUGCCCCAAUGGUCGAGGAUCACCACAUUGGUGAUGACGAGAUCGGCAACCUCGGCUGCAAGCCGUUGGCUUUGACCCAUGCCGUCACGGAU